rnacentral:lncRNA from 1 species
CAGGAUUGUGAAACUGAAUGAUACGGACAAGAAUCUAGAAAACUGAGCUAUAUUGCCGUCCUAAAUUGAUUACAAGUAAAGGCCGGGAAGGUCGAGCUAGACUGUUAGACUUACAAUCAUAAUUCAUGUCCAACCGAGAUUGAAGUCGAUUGUAUAUUCUCUAUUGAUAUAUACCUUUUUUUUUUUUUGUUCUUUUUUUUUUCAUAUAAAAAAUGUAAUACGAAGAUUAUUCAAGAUGUUAUCUAUCCAACUACUACUCAUAUUUAAAAAUUAAUUAAAGAUCGGAGAUUUGCCACAUACUUAUAUAUUCUCUUUGUUUUCGAAUAG